AGAUCAAUUGGAACAUGCCCUAUUAUUCAAUAGGGAUGCAUCCAAUCAAUCCAAAACCAAUCUAAUUGAAUCCAAUUCAAUUAGAUCUAAUCUAAUCUCCAUUGCUCAAUUAAAUUGAACUAAUUAAUAAUUAUAUUAUUAAUUAAUUAUUUUUUUAAUUUAUCAACUAUUAGUAAAUAAUUCAUUGCAACCUUUGUAUAGGCCUAAUCAUCAAUCAAAUUGAUAAUUAAAUCCUUCAACGAUUCAUAAUCAUCGAUCAGUCAUUUGAUCAGACAGGUACUUCUAUGUGUGUGACCCUAUAGGUUCAAACCUAAGCCAGUAGCACAAGAGCAAUUUCUGUACUAAUCGAUGUAACCAUCUAGCAAUGGGAUUCGACGUUCGGAUAGAUCGAAUGUAUGCCCAGCAACACUCUAGAACUCAUGUGGAUAUAGUUACAGUAUAAUUCAUCCCUUUGACACUUGAUGCUCAAGGAUGACUCUGGAUUAAACAGUCUAGCUAGGAUGAGUAGUCCAUAUUGUGUCUCAAUCUUAAAAAUCCUGUGACUCCUCAUUAGGACUACUUUGAUCAAAGUUUUGCUAAAUUGAAAAAUAGUGAUGCACCAUCUCCAAUUUUACUUGGAGCGGUCAAUCCCAUCUUAACUCGCAUUCAGACUUUACAAGUACUUGACUGUAUCCAGAAACCUUCUAUCACCAAAUUAAAAAUUUGGAUAGUCCGGCACCAAAUCACAGUGAGUUGCUUGCAAGUCAUCGAGGCAGCCUCAGAUCCGAGGGACACUUAUACCCAUAUCCCAUCAGAGCAGCCAUUGACAGUAGAGUACUCCAAAAGUGAUCACGCUCAGUGAAAUGUACUCCUACAUAUCAUUCAUAUGCCAUAUCCGUGUCACCAUACAUCUUGGUUAAGAGGACAAUCAAUUAAUAUGGCACACAAUGACCUACACUCAAUAUAAUUAUCGUCCUUAUAACAAUUGUAUCAUUUGGUCGCG
rnacentral:lncRNA from 1 species